rnacentral:rRNA from 1 species
GACGAACGCUGGCGGCGUGCUUAACACAUGCAAGUCGAACGGAAAGGCCCUGCUUUUGUGGGGUGCUCGAGUGGCGAACGGGUGAGUAACACGUGAGUAACCUGCCCUUGACUUUGGGAUAACUUCAGGAAACUGGGGCUAAUACCGGAUAGGAGCUCCUGCUGCAUGGUGGGGGUUGGAAAGUUUCGGCGGUUGGGGAUGGACUCGCGGCUUAUCAGCUUGUUGGUGGGGUAGUGGCUUACCAAGGCUUUGACGGGUAGCCGGCCUGUGAGGGUGACCGGCCCCAUUGGGACUGAGAUACGGCCCAGACUCCUACGGGAGGCAGCAGUGGGGAAUAUUGCACAAUGGGCGGAAGCCUGAUGCAGCAACGCCGCGUGCGGGAUAACGGCCUUCGGGUUGUAAACCGCUUUCGCCUGUGACGAAGCGUGAGUGACGGUAAUGGGUAAAGAAGCACCGGCUAACUACGUG